rnacentral:sRNA from 2 species
CUGUACCAGGCGUACACACCGGUCCCUGCGCACCGUCCACAUCCACCUGGCGACCGCUCGCUGCGUUGGUCAGCC